GAUGAAGAACGCAGCGAAAUGCGAUACGUAAUGUGAAUUGCAGAAUUCAGUGAAUCAUCGAAUCUUUGAACGCAUAUUGCGCUCUCUGGUAUUCCGGAGAGCAUGCUUGUUUGAGUAUCAGUAAACACCUCAACUUCCAUAUCUUUUUUGAAAUGGGAGUUGGACUUGAGUGAUCCCAACGCUUUUCCUCACCGAAAAGUGGCGGGUUACUUGAAAUGCAGGUGCAGCUGGACUUUUCUCUGAGCUAUAAGCAUAUCUAUUUAGUCUGCCUAAUAAACAGAUUAUUACCUUUGCUGCAGCUAACAUAAAGGAGAUUAGUUCUUGUGCUGACUGAUGCAGGAUUCACAAAGACAGGCUUCGGCCGACUUUGUAAACUCGAUCUCAAAUCAAGUAAGACUACCCGCUGAACUUAAGCAUAUCAAUAAGCGGAGGA
rnacentral:misc_RNA from 1 species